GGGGGUGACCGGUUUUGACAGCAGGUAGAAUUCGAUUGUAAGCACGUCGAGCCUUGUGUGGGGUCUCGUUAAACUGAACGCUCAAGCUAUAAAUGGCAAUAACAACUACGCACUCGCUGCUUAAUUUACUGGGUAAAUUAGCUUAAUCGCGUAGCCCAAGGAU
rnacentral:tmRNA from 1 species